rnacentral:rRNA from 1 species
GAUGAACGCUAGCGGCAGGCUUAACACAUGCAAGUCGAGGGGUAUUGGUUUUCGGACCAAGAGACCGGCGCACGGGUGCGUAACGCGUAUGCAAUCUACCUUUUGCAGAGGGAUAGCCCAGAGAAAUUUGGAUUAAUACCUCAUAGUAUAGUAGUUUCGCAUGAAACGACUAUUAAAGUUCCAACGGCAAAAGAUGAGCAUGCGUCCCAUUAGCUAGAUGGUAAGGUAACGGCUUACCAUGGCAACGAUGGGUAAGGGUCCUGAGAGGGAGAUCCCCCACACUGGUACUGAGACACGGACCAGACUCCUACGGGAGGCAGCAGUGAGGAAUAUUGGACAAUGGGCGCAAGCCUGAUCCAGCCAUGCCGCGUGCAGGAUGACGGUCCUAUGGAUUGUAAACUGCUUUUGUACAGGAAGAAACACUCCCUCGUGAGGGAGCUUGACGGUACUGUAAGAAUAAGGAUCGGCUAACUCCGUGCCAGCAGCCGCCGUAA